GACGAACGCUGGCGGCGUGCCUAAUACAUGCAAGUAGAACGCUGAAGAGAGGAGCUUGCUCUUCUUGGAUGAGUUGCGAACGGGUGAGUAACGCGUAGGUAACCUGCCUGGUAGCGGGGGAUAACUAUUGGAAACGAUAGCUAAUACCGCAUAAAAUGGAUUAUCGCAUGAUAAUCCAUUGAAAGGUGCAAAUGCAUCACUACCAGAUGGACCUGCGUUGUAUUAGCUAGUUGGUGGGGUAACGGCUCACCAAGGCGACGAUACAUAGCCGACCUGAGAGGGUGAUCGGCCACACUGGGACUGAGACACGGCCCAGACUCCUACGGGAGGCAGCAGUAGGGAAUCUUCGGCAAUGGACGGAAGUCUGACCGAGCAACGCCGCGUGAGUGAAGAAGGGUUUCGGAUCGUAAAGCUCUGUUGUAAGAGAAGAACGAGUGUGAGAGUGGAAAGUUCACACUGUGACGGUAGCUUACCAGAAAGGGACGGCUAACUACGUG
rnacentral:rRNA from 1 species